rnacentral:rRNA from 1 species
UACGUAGGUGGCAAGCGUUGUCCGGAUUUACUGGGCGUAAAGAGCGCGCAGGCGGUCGUCCAAGUCGCGUGUGAAAGCCCCCGGCUCAACUGGGGAGGGUCACGCGAUACUGGUCGACUCGAGCCCGUGAGAGGUCCAUGGAAUUGCCGGUGUAGUGGUGAAAUGCGUAGAGAUCGGCAGGAACACCCAGGGAGAAAUCAGUGGACUGGCACGGUGCUGACGCUCAGGUGCGAAAGCGUGGGGAGCGAACCGG